GUCUGAACUCAGAUCAUGUGAUCUGACUGUUGUAAGGUAGCAUAAUAAUUUGUCUUUUAAUUGAAGACUGGAAUAAACGAGUUGACGAAGAGAAAGCUGUCUCUUUAAGGCCCCUUUAACUUGCCUUUAAGGUCAAAAGGCCUUACAAAACCAAAGGGACGACAAGACCCUAAAAACUUUACCCCUUUCUAAAUGAAUAAGAAAAUUAAACCCUGGGGUUUCACUGGGGCGGUGAAUUGCAACAAAACUUAAUCUAACACUCUGAGUGAAAUGAAAGUACACACAUAUGUACACAAGAACUAGUUACUUUAGGGAUAACAGCGCAAUUUUUCCAGAGAGUCCUAAUCGGCGGAAAAGAUUACGACCUCGAUGUUGAAUUGAAACUCCUCCUGAA
rnacentral:rRNA from 1 species